UUAUCUCCUCAGCUAAUAUCUGUUCUACUCAGUGUGAUCUCUGAUCUGUUCCCCAUUGCAGAGCUGGGUGGUCAAUAGGGGUUUGGAGAAAGGGAGUUGGAGUAGGGGCUUGUUCUGCCCAUUCCACGCGUCAGCCUGGCAUUGCAGUGCUUCCAGGAGCGGUGCCUCUCCC
rnacentral:snRNA from 1 species